rnacentral:lncRNA from 1 species
ACUUGUGCAGCAUACCGACUUGGUCUCUGGAACAAUUACUGCCUAAUGCUAGACAACUGAAAGUAAGUGUGAAGUGGAAUCUAGAACAGUGUGUUCUUGAUCGACCCUUACUUGUGCAGCAUACCGACUUGGUCUCUGGAACAAUUACUGCCUAAUGCUCGACAACUGAAAGUAAGUGUGAAGUGGAAUCUAGAACAGUGUGUUCUUGAUCGACCCUUACUUUUUUAUAUGAAUAUGCUAAGUCAGAGUUAGAAAAUUUUAAUACUAAGAAGUACUCCCUUGGUCCCUCUGAUGCAUAUACCAACUUCCUACUAGAUAAGCGACAAUUAAUAUGGAUCGGAGUGGUAAAAGAGUCCACGACGAAUCAAGGAAAAUUAUGGAGAAUUAUGAAAAUCAAAUGAAGGAAUUGGGGCAGUACUCCUGUCUUGACGUAAUAUUGGGUGUUCAUUUUUUAGGGAAGUUUAGUUUUUUCUCUCCUCUCAUGAUGUGUAGUUUCACUUUUCCUCUUUGAGAAUUGAUGAUCACCUCAUAUAUUUUCAGAC